UUCAAUUAUCAAUUUAGCAGAUUGUUUAGCUUACGUUACACAAUAGAUGCCACGAAAUUGAUUCAGUCACUGUAUUUGGUUUGGUAACGCAUGAGAAGUGCCUUUGAUUUCCUAUCUCUUAAAAAAAUAUUUUUCAAACAUUUUAAUAAACACGUUGCACUUAAUCUGUCACUUUUAUUUGUUGGAGCAAAUAAUCAUGAUUGUAUUUACCGGCCAGGAUAUCGAGGAAUCGCUGAACGCGCCUCAGCCGUCUAACCGGUGGUCCAGGUUGCUUCAUAAGGGGUUCCUUUAUUGGUUUGGUAGCGUCGAUGCGCUAAGUUUUCUAAUACUGGUGUUAUUCUUUCGGAUGGUAGAUGCGAAUGCAAUAUAAUACACAUAAAAUCAAAAUUUUAUAAGUGAAAUGUGAAUAUAAUAGAAAAAAUGCUAUAUUGAUUAAAAGAAAAUAUGAUUA